CUCCUGUUCCUGGCCGCUGAGCAGCUCCUGGAAGACCUCCGCAACGAUUCCUCGGACUAUGUGGUUUGCCCCUGGUCAGCCCUGCUUUCUGCAGCUGGAAGCCUUUCUUUCCAAGGCCGUGUUUCUCAUAUAGAGGCUGCUCCUUUCAAGGCCCCUGAACUGCUACAGGGACAGAGUGAGGAUGAGCAGCCUGAUGCAUCUCAGGUAAGCUGUGCAGCUACUCUGCAACUUCUGAGUCCUGUGCCCUGGGAAAGGCCUGUCCCAGCGGCAGCCUCCCCAGCUCCCAGCUCAGCCUUGCAGAGCUUGGUUCUCAACACCAAGCCAGAGUGGGUUUCAAGAGUUUUAUUCCCAGGAUUUCUUGUCAACAACUUACUAGCUCAUGGACAAGGGCAAGUCCACUUCUCUGAGCCCCAAUUUCUACAUUGGUAAAAUGGGGUUAAUGUGGCUUAAUUGAUCAGGUUAUUAUCAAUAUUCAAAAAGAAGUGUUGAAAAGCUGUGGUUAAGUGGUCUGGCACAUUGUUACCAUUGGCAGUAUGUAGCAAGACACCUCAAAAUGACCCAACACGUCCUCAACUAGGAAUUUAUUCUAAGGCACAAGUAAAGAUAAAUUUAGCUGCAGCAAUGCUGAUUGUUGUAUUGCUGACGUUAGUGAUAAAUUGAAAACAAGCUAAAUAGUGAGUGG
rnacentral:lncRNA from 10 species